rnacentral:rRNA from 1 species
AUUGAACGCUGGCGGCAGGCCUAACACAUGCAAGUCGAACGCGUGGCGGACGGGUGAGUAAUGUCUGGGAAACUGCCCGAUGGAGGGGGAUAACUACUGUAAACGGUAGCUAAUAUCCCAUAUCAUCUGAUGUGCCCAGAUGGGAUUCGCUAGUUGGGGGGGUAACGGCUCACCUAGGCGACGAUCCCUAGCUGGUCUGAGAGGAUGACCAGCCACACUGGAACUGAGACACGGUCCAGACUCCUACGGGAGGCAGCAGUGGGGAAUAUUGCACAAUGGGCGCAAGCCUGAUGCAGCCAUGCCGCGUGUAUGAAGAAGGCCUUCGGGUUGUAAAGUACUUUCAGCGGGGAGGCGUUACCCGCAGAAGAAGCACCGGCUAACUCCGUGCCAGCAGCCGCGGUAAUAC